GGAUUUCAGAACUUUUCUUAAUGACAGUGCAGUGAUUUGCCCAGGAGGAACAUUUCCAUAGAGAGACACUUUGCAUUGGCAUCACAUGCUUCAGUGCUCUGGGAGUGUUUAUAGCCCUGUGAGUUGAACACUUCAUGUGAGAGCUGUGUUUCAUUUAAACAGAACCCACGGCAACCAUGACUUUCAUCACCAUCUUCAUCUGGACUCUGGUCUGUUACACACAAGGGUCUUGGGGCCAGUAUGUAUUGACUCAGUCUGCAGCUCAAUCAGUCCAGCCGGGUCAAACUGUCUCUAUUGACUGUAGCGCCAGUAGUAAAGUUAAUCAGUACUCUGGCUCACGGUAUUACCUGGCCUGGUACCAUCAGACGUUUGGAGAAGCUCCUAAACUCCUGAUCUAUUACACAUCAGACAGGUUCACAGGAGUUUCCACCAGGUUCAGUGGCAGUGGGAGAGGAAAUGGUAUUGACUUCACUCUGACCAUCAGUAAAGUCCAGGCUGAGGAUACAGGAGUUUACUACUGUCAGAGUUACCACAGUGGUACUGUGUUCACACAGUGAUUUAGAGCCGCACAAAAACCUCCCUCAGUCAGAGUCCACUGCUGCAGCUGGGACCUACUGCAGGUGCUGAGGGCGAAGACAAUGACAUGCGUCACUGAGUACUACUGUACAAACACUCAACUCACUGGGCAGAAACUGGAUGAAUCAAGGCUGUUUCCACAUCAAUUAAACCAAACAAAUCUUUGUGAUAAAGUUGAAUCAUCAUGGAAAACCAAUUGGAUUUGCAAAAAGUCGUCGGCGUAAGAGCAUUGUCUUUUUUUUACCCAACUUUUAACAUUUGUUGUUGAUUUCACGUUGAAUUCACGGUUAGUUGACAACUCAACCAAAUGUAAAUCUCAACUAGAUGUUGAACUGUUGUCUGUGCCCAGUGUGAACCUACCAUUCAUUAUACACUGUGACCACAUGUAACGGCUUGUCUGUGGUGUGGAGGAAAGAAGCGCAGGAAGCAGCGAACACUGUGUGGUAAUUUUAAUAAACCACCUGUACAAAAUAACACAAUCGACAAGCACAGUUGAACAAACCUCAGUCGACACACAGAAGGACAAUCCCGCACAAUAGAGAGUGGGCCAGCUGAACUAAAUAGCCCUCUUAAUUGACUAACUCAGGGCAGGUGAGACAACAUAA